rnacentral:tRNA from 3 species
GCGGGUGUAGCUCAGCUGGUAGAGUAGUGGUCUCCAAAACCAUUGGUCGUGAGUUCGAAUCUUACCGCCCGCGCAA